UACGGAGGGUGCGAGCGUUGUCCGGAAUCACUGGGCGUAAAGGGCGCGUAGGUGGCCUGUGGAAGUCUGCGGUGAAAGCCCGGCGCUCAACGCCGGGUCGGCCGUGGAUACUCUCGGGCUCGAGCUUACUAGAGGCAGAUGGAAUUCCGGGUGUAGCGGUGAAAUGCGUAGAUAUCAGGAGGAACACCUGCGGUGUAGACGGCUUACUGGACCGUAACUGACGCUGAGGCACGAAAGCGUGGGUAGCAAACAGG
rnacentral:rRNA from 1 species